rnacentral:rRNA from 1 species
GCCUACGGACAUACCAGUCUGAAAGUGCCUGAUCUCGUCAGAUCUCAGAAGUCAUGCAGACUUGGGCCUGCUUAGUACUUGUAUGGGAGACUAAAUAGGAACCUCAGGAAGCCAUAUACU